AACUAUUCUGUGAUUUUUCAUGGACUGAAGAUAGAAUACGCACCAAACUAAUAUUAAGUCUGGUACAUAAAUUUUCUAUUCAUGAACUGACAAUAUUUCUUCUAUGUGGAAUACACAAGAUCUCCUCAAUGGGCCAUGAUGCAGGCAUCGCCGCAGGAAAUACUUGGCGCACCGAAGAACCUGUACUGUUGGAUUUGUCGAGAGAGGACUGAGGGAACACGCCAACGUUAGGGUGGCGGAUGCAAGUAUUGGAGUUCAGCCUAAAAUCACAAGAGAAUGGAUCAAAAUGAAUUCAGAUUGACUUCUAAUCAUUUAUCAAGCUAUAAAAGUUAGAACUGAUGUUACACAAACUGAGGCAUUUUUUUUAUAUGAACAGCUCACGUAAUUUGUAUAGUACCACUGUUUUUUCAUUCUCAUUAACAAAUAACCAUAGACUAAUGAGAGAAUGUAUUACUUGAUAGUAGGCAUUUUCUUCUCAGAACCACUUUGGUUUUCUUUUCUUUUUCUUCACUUUUGCUCUGCUUUCUUUUUUCUUUGCUUUAUGAAGUGCCCCAUCAGAAAAGUUGAACUUUAGAUUUUACCAAUCUCCACAUCUACUAAAACUAAGGGAGCUCCUUUUGAAACAUGUACAAUGAACUGAAAAGGCAUAUACAAGGUCAACUGAAAAACCAUAUACAAGGUGAACCAAAAAAGCUUCUGAGAAAAAAAAGUGAACCAACUUUUUGUUGUUUUUCUAGUUACUAAACUACUUAUUACCAUAACAGCGGCUGAACUGAUGCUGCAUAUGUAUAUAGGAAGGUUACUGGUACCAAAAAAUUAGGACAGUAAACAACAUUAUAAAUUGAAUUAUGUUAUAUGAAGAUGAGGCAAUUGUACUUACGAUUUGGCAUUAGAUGUACUGAAUAGCACACAGAAGAUGGACU
rnacentral:lncRNA from 1 species